GUGGCGAACGGGUGAGUAACGCGUGAGGAACCUGCCUCAAAGAGGGGGACAACAGUUGGAAACGACUGCUAAUACCGCAUAAGCCCAGACCCGGNAUCGGGUAGAGGGAAAAGGAGCAAUCCGCUUUGAGAUGGCCUCGCGUCCGAUUAGCUAGUUGGUGAGGUAAUGGCCCACCAAGGCGACGAUCGGUAGCCGGACUGAGAGGUUGAACGGCCACAUUGGGACUGAGACACGGCCCAGACUCCUACGGGAGGCAGCAGUGGGGAAUAUUGCACAAUGGGGGAAACCCUGAUGCAGCGACGCCGCGUGGAGGAAGAAGGUCUUCGGAUUGUAAACUCCUGUUGUUGAGGAAGAUAAUGACGGUACUCAACAAGGAAGUGACGGCUAACUACGUG
rnacentral:rRNA from 1 species